UCAUGCAUUCAUUUUACAUUUACCUCAUCUUCUUGUUGUUCUGUUCAUCACACUUCAGCCACAUGUUGAGUUCUGUUCUUGUUAAGUUUUGAUCCACUGUUUUUGUUUGUUUGAUGAUUGCUUUUGUCACUAGUUUGAUUUGUCAGCUUUACCACAUUAGUCUUCAGUUGUAUUAUUCAUGUCAGUUCUGUUGUAGUUUUGGGCCUUUGAAUUUCUGGAUGUCUGCUUUUCUUUUCAUGGUCAAGUAUUAAUCUUUUCUGAGUCCAUGUAUCCCGGUCUUGUUACAUCUGUAUUGUUAGUUUAUGGUUAUUAGUUAUGUCCAUAUUGUCGCUGCACUCCCUUGU